AACGAACGCUGGCGGCAUGCCUAACACAUGCAAGUCGAACGAGACCUUCGGGUCUAGUGGCGCACGGGUGCGUAACGCGUGGGAACCUGCCCUUAGGUUCGGAAUAACUCCCCGAAAGGGGUGCUAAUACCGGUUAAUGUCUUCGGACCAAAGAUUUAUCGCCUUUGGAUGGGCCCGCGUUGGAUUAGCUAGUUGGUAGGGUAAAAGCCUACCAAGGCGACGAUCCAUAGCUGGUCUGAGAGGAUGAUCAGCCACACUGGGACUGAGACACGGCCCAGACUCCUACGGGGGGCAGCAGUAGAGAAUAUUAGACAAUGGGCGAAAGCCUGAUCCAGCAAUGCCGCGUGAGUGAUGAAGGCCUUAGGAUUGUAAAGCUCUUUUACCCGAGAUGAUAAUGACAGUACCGGGAAAAUAAGCUCCGGCUAACUCCGUG
rnacentral:rRNA from 1 species